UAAAAGGAUAUUCCUGACAAGAAAAUUUUGUCAUGUGUGUCACAAAUAGAGCAACUUGAUUGUUCCUUGUAUAAUAAAUAUAAAGAUAUUUUAAAGGCAUAAUGGUUAAGUAAGUGAGCAGCUAGUGUUUGAUGGUCUUAGUGCACAU